ensembl:lncRNA
UGAUGACUGAAAAUAAUUUCACCAUAUUGGAAGAGAGACUCCGCCCUGGCAGUGGUGCCUUCUGGUCUGGUGUUUACAUGGAGAUGAGAGGCAACUGGAUGGAUUCUCAGCUCUGUGCUGCCCCAGGCAGGGCUGAGAAGCAGCAGCACUGCAAUUAUAUCUCCAAAGGGAGAGGAUUCAAACCGCACGUUCACGUUUAUGCGCUCUGAAUUCUGACGCAUUUCGAAGUGUGUACCUUAAGGGGGACUUUGAGGAAGUUCAGGAAUCUGGACUCUGCUCUGGGUGUUUGUGUGUAUGUGUGUGUCUAACUUAAGAUAUAAAUAACUCAAGUGUGUGAAUCUUUGCUUUCUUACUCUCACAGGACAGGGAAUGCGUCAUACUUAAAUUUUCC